GCCGGAGUGGCGGAAUUGGCAGACGCGCCAGGUUGAGGGCCUGGUUGGGGUUAACCCAGUGCAGGUUCAAGUCCUGUCUCCGGCA
rnacentral:tRNA from 1 species